rnacentral:rRNA from 1 species
UACGUAGGGGGCAAGCGUUGUCCGGAAUCAUUGGGCGUAAAGCGCGCGUAGGCGGCCCGGUAAGUCCGCUGUGAAAGUCCAGGGCUCAACCCUGGAAAGCCGGUGGAUACUGCCGGGCUAGAGUCCGGGAGAGGCGAGUGGAAUUCCUGGUGUAGCGGUGAAAUGCGCAGAUAUCAGGAAGAACACCCGUGGCGAAAGCGGCUCUCUGGGACGGUACUGACGCUGAGACGCGAAAGCGUGGGGAGCGAACAGG